rnacentral:lncRNA from 10 species
AUCCGCGCCUGCGCAGCCGCGGGUCGCCCAGGGUUGGGAUGUUGGUGUCGGCUGGGGGCUGCUGUGAGGCGCUUGGUAGCACCCAGUCCUGAUACUCUCCAGUUACCCGGUAGGCGGGGCUCGGACACAAAGAAAAGGUGAAUUCGCAGCUGAGAGCCCUUGUUUCCGGUCCUUUUUUUUUUUUUUUUGAGAUGGAGUCUCGCUCUGUCACCCAGGCUGGAGUGCAGUGGCGCCAUCUCGGCUCACUGCAAGCUCUGCCUCCGGUGUUCAAGCGAUUCUCCUGCCUCAGCCUUCUAAGUAGCUAGGAUUACAGGCGCGCGUCACCACGCUUGGCUAAUUUUUGUAUUUUUAGUAGAGCCGAGGUUUCACCAAGUUGGUCAAGAUGGUCUCAAACUUCUGACCUCGUGAUCCGCCCGCCUCGGCCUCCCAAAGUGCCGGGAUUACAGGCGUGAGCCACCGCGCCCGGCCGUCUCCGAUCUUUACACGCAUUCUUCGUGUUAUCUGAAGACACUCUGACGCCACCACCCAAAGCAACUGGCAGUUGACUCUUGGCAAUUUUAAGCUUGUGUGGAAAGCAGCCGCCGCCCGGUAGCUCCUUUUUAUCUAGAGACACUCAGGAUGUGGGGGACACCCCAGCAAUGCCAUCCCUCCUUUGACCUCCAGAGCGCGCAGAAUUACAAAAGAUCUUUGGGGGCUUGGAUGGAGGAACAGGAAAAGAGGAGCCAGGCUUUUUUGGAAAAUUGGCGGCAGCGGUGGCAUACGGGAAACUGAAAUCUUUAUCUAAUCUCAUCCUUUGUAUAUUCGUCUUGGAUUUGCUGAAGAAAAUUAAAAGGCCAGGCCUACCACUCCUAUGGCACAGUAUUGAUGAGAGACAUCAGUGGAGCUCCCCACCUCCACCCCAGGCUUGGAACUUAGGGAAUGACUGGUUUUUGUCAUUUCACACAACAGCUGAAGGAUUCUGUCCCCACCUCGUCCUCUGUGAAGUCUGCUGGACGUACCUGCCAGAAUCUUCUGAAGAUGACGUUUGCUGAACACUGACCCACAGGGGUUUGAUGGAUUAUUGACAAUGAGACAAGCUGUCUUUUCAUCAAUUAGAUAUUCCAGUUGUUUCAGGUCAAUUUCCCAAGAUUUCUCUGGCUGGAGAGAAAGAAAGGAUGAGACUAAGAUGAUUCUGAAACAUUUAGGGGGAAUCCUCACUUAUCUCAAGGGUCCAAUGUAAGCAAUAAAGUCUGUCUCUGGCUUCAACCACCACUUUGAGACCUUCCU